UCCCUGGAGGACUAGUGGUUAGGCUUUGGUGCUCUCGCCGCUGCAGCGUGGGUUCAAUUCCCGGCCAGGGAA